AAUUAUUUAUUUAUUAUUUUUAUUAGUUAAUAUAAUUUUAUUAAUAAAAUCAAUUUUAUAAUUAUUUAGUUUUUGUAUUUGGUAUAAAUUAAAUUUUAAUAAUAAUAGUUAAUUUGUAUUGUAUAAGAUUAUUGAAAUAAUUUGAAAAAUUUUUUAUAUAAAAGUAAUAUUUAUUAUUUGUACCUUGUGUAUCAGGGCUUAUUAAUUAAAAUUUAUUUAUAAUAUAAAUAUUUCUCGAAUUUAAUAGAGCUAAAAAAUUAUAUUAGUUAUUGUUUCAUAAAUAUUAAUAAUAAUUUAUUAGAGAUGAGAUGUUAUUCGUUUUUAAAGAUAUCUAGUUUUUUAAGAAAUGAAUUUAAUUCAGAUAUUUAGUUUAAUUAAUUUAUUUAAAAUUAGUAAUUAUUUUAAUUUAAUAUUAAUAUUUUAUGGGAUUAGCUUUAAAAUAUAAACUAUAAAUUUUAAAUUUAAAUAAAAAUUUUUAGGCUUAGAAAUAGCUAUUAAUUUAAUAAUGUUGUAAUUUAUUUUUAAAUAAUAUAAUUUUUUUUAAUUUUAGAUUUAUAUUAAAAUAAUUUUUUUAAUAGUAAAAAAAUUGAAAUAAUGAUAAGAUUAGUAUAUAAUAUUGUUAUAAUUAUUUUAUAUUUGAAGUUUAAAGUAAGGAAUUCGGCAAAGUAAAUACUCGCCUGUUUAACAAAAACAUGUCUUUUUGAUUUUAAUUUAAAGUCUAAUCUGCCCACUGAGGGGUUUAAAGGGCCGCGGUAUUUUGACCGUGCAAAGGUAGCAUAAUCAUUAGUUUUUUAAUUGAGGGCUGGAAUGAACGAUUGAACGAAGUAUUAACUGUCUCAUUUUAAUUAUUAUUAGAAUUUAAUUUUUGAGUUAAAAAGCUUAAAUUUUAUUAAAGGACGAGAAGACCCUAUAGAGCUUUAUAUAUUUAAUUAUAAAUUUUUUUUAGCUUUAUUAUAAUUUUAUAAUUAAUUAUAUUUUGUUGGGGUGAUAGGAAGAUUAAAUAAACUCUUUUUAAUUUAUUUACACUAAUAAGUGAUUUAUUGAUCCUAUAUUAUAGAUUAUAAGACUAAGUUACCUUAGGGAUAACAGCGUAAUUAUUUUUAAGAGUUCUUAUCGACAAAAUAGAUUGCGACCUCGAUGUUGGAUUAAGAAUUAAAUUUGGGUGUAGAAGUUCAAAAAUUUAGGUCUGUUCGACCUUUAAAUUCUUACAUGAUCUGAGUUCAGACCGGCGUAAGCCAGGUUGGUUUCUAUCCUUAAUUUAAUAUAUAUAUUUUAGUACGAAAGGACCAGAUAUUUAAAAUAAUUUUUUUUAUUUGAUUAAUAUUAAACUAAUA
rnacentral:rRNA from 1 species